rnacentral:rRNA from 1 species
AUUGAACGCUGGCGGCAGGCUUAACACAUGCAAGUCGAGCGGGGUGAUGGUGCUUGCACUAUCACUUAGCGGCGGACGGGUGAGUAAUGCUUAGGAAUCUGCCUAUUAGUGGGGGACAACAUCUCGAAAGGGAUGCUAAUACCGCAUACGUCCUACGGGAGAAAGCAGGGGAUCACUUGUGACCUUGCGCUAAUAGAUGAGACUAAGUCGGAUUAGCUAGUUGGUGGGGUAAAGGCCUACCAAGGCGACGAUCUGUAGCGGGUCUGAGAGGAUGAUCCGCCACACUGGGACUGAGACACGGCCCAGACUCCUACGGGAGGCAGCAGUGGGGAAUAUUGGACAAUGGGGGGAACCCUGAUCCAGCCAUGCCGCGUGUGUGAAGAAGGCCUUAUGGUUGUAAAGCACUUUAAGCGAGGAGGGGGCUCUUUUGGUUAAUACCCAAGAUGAGUGGACGUUACUCGCAGAAUAAGCACCGGCUAACUCUGUGCCAGCAGCCGCAGUAA